AUAAGAAACAAAAAAAGGGCUGUAAACUGUUGUUACAUGUGCUGACAUGAUUAAAAGGGAAGUAAACCGUACCUUCCAUGUUGUAGUUUAUAUUAUACGCUCAUAGAAAGGGUAACAAAUUUGGAGGCACCGCUGAGAUGUAUUUUCAUGUGAGCACCGGCCCAUAUUCCUGGAACGAACAACGAGCGAGAGACAUUGGGAGAGUAGCUAGCUAGCUAACGUUAUCAGGCUAACCACCAAACAGAUUGUAGCUAUCUUGCCAUUGCCUGCAUUGUCGUUGUUGCCACGUUAGUAGGACAAUAUGAGUCGAGAGAGGGAAACGUUGUUGGAUGAAAUCGAGCAGAGUUUAUGGACUUUAACUGAUGACAAUUUAUGGCACAUGUGUGUAACGUUACGUUGUGGAAUAGGAGGUGUAGAUGACUGAAGUAAAAGGAAAGAGCCAUCGCGCUUUGCGGCGCAAAUUGAUGGAAGAUUACUGUGAGAAGGAGGAUUUAAUGGAAUCAGAGGAUGAGGGAAUGUCUUGGCUGAUUCAACUGAAAGACGAAAUCAAAGGAAUAUCGGACUCUGAGGAUAAUGUGAAAAGUCUGCCUACAAGUCCCAGCCAGUCGGCGCCAAUGAUGCAAGUGGACAGCGGAGAGAUGGGAGCUGCAGCAGAACGAAAAGAAGAGGGAGGGGCUCCUCAGCCCAGCAGAGAAGUGGUCUCAGCUCCAGAAAGGCAUCCGCCACAGAGAGAAUGGAUUGCUAGGUACCAGUAAGUAGGAACAGCUGAAGAGAGGGCUGCAGAAAUAAAAAUACGAUUGUUUAGAAGAGGUGGACAUUGGAGGAUGAGAUGAGAACCUUCAGCAAGAAGAAAGCAGAUACUGCUCUGUGGCCACUCCUUCAACACCACUGCCAACCACAAAAUGGACAAACACUGCAAACGGCUACUGCUGGACCCAUGGCUUGAGGCAAACUCUGUCAUAUCCAGGAUGAAGUGUCAUGCCCUCCACCCCUCCUGCCACCUGACUGCACCUGUACGUACACGACAGAACCUCACCCAGAGACCUGUGAUUGUCAGUAUGUGGUUAGACAGCCAAAUCCUUAGAAAAUACCAUAGAAAUAGAAUUGAAUGCCAUGCUAUUUCUGGGACAGCUGAAGAACAAGGAGCAUACAAAUCUAUCUGUUGUUCUCCUCUACACACAACUUAUUUGUAUUUUUGCUAGGUAGAGUGUAGGCAUACUGUCUUUAUAAGCACAUCAAUAUUACAGCAGAAAAUGUUUUGUCUUUACAUGAAAUUAUAAAACUUCAAGUUGCAAGCUACUUUCAUAGCAAGGUGUUGUAGAACGAGUGUCUCAUGAAACACAUUGCAGACAAUGGUAAAACAUGUGUAUACUUUAAAUGCAUACAUUCAACAGCUGAUGAUACCAAAAUGAACAAAUGGCCUGGAAAUCACGCAUUAGAUGCCUUCACAGUAUGAAUAAUAAUUAGUAUGUUGAUUUUCAUUGCUUACUGCAUAUGCUUUUACUGAACAGUACGUUCUAAAUAAUAUGUAGUACGAUUAGUACACAGAAGUAUGUACUUUUAGUAAGUAGUAGGCAAUACAGAUAUUGGACACGGACCAUGCCUCGGGAUUUAAUGAAUGUGAAAUGUCAUAUGAAUAUAAAUAUAUUCUUUCCCAGCACUGUCUCUAAGUAGGUUGGUAUACAAUGAGUCUUAAAUCUGGUCACACCCUAAAAAGUCACACCCUCGAAUAUAAACGUACUCUCUAAAACUUGUUGUGUUUGCACCUAGCAAGUACAACGGAAAUGCACAGACAUUACAUCCAUAUAAACAGUCCUUAUUAGUCAAGAAGGCUCUGAUAGUAACAAUUAGACAUGUUGAGUCAGGCAUCACUGUCAGGGUUGUACAGGUUCACAAGUGAUACUCACAUGUUGAAAGAAACUCGCCCAAAUUGCUUAUCUAAAUAUUUUGGGUAACACUUUGUGAAUGUUAAAGGUGCCAUAACAACCUAAUAUUUAAAAAUAAUUCAAACGAUACCAGAAUAAGUAAUUUUUUUAUUACAGUAUUUAGCAGCAGUAUUGUUGCUGGUGUUGCUGACAGGAUUAGUCCUGUGCACCACAAGGCUGUAUUAGACUCUGCUGAGCUAAAGCCAAGGCAUAAGCUUCUGGCUCAAUGGGUGUUAGGCCGGGUAUCUGUAAAGCACCUCCUGAUCACCUCUGAUGUAAAAAGGGCUUUAUAAAAGAAACAAUUGCUCUGACCUGAGUUCAAAUAGUAUUGAGCCUGUCUGGAGUGGAGUGCCAGAAAGAUGUGGUUUGCUCUUUUGGGACUAUUACAGUGGUCCCAUUGUGCCAGGCAAGCUCAAUCAUCGACCACAGCUAGUUAGAGUAUUUAGAAUAUACUAUUUAUCCAGGUCUGGUUCCAACCCCUUCUGCCACUGUGUCCUUGAGCAAGGCACAUAAACCCCUGAACUGCUACCUGGGUACUGCUCUGAGGCUUACCUGAUGCUCCCAGACUGUUGCGUGAAUAGUAUGUCAGAGGGUUGGGUACUGUGACAGGUGGAAUACACAUUUUAGUUGUACUGAUAAACAAGGCAACAUUAAACAUGUCCUCCAACUAAUAAAUGUAAGAUAUUGUGUGUGACCGCAUUUUAUCCAAUAUAUUGACCAGAUACUCAAGUGGUCGCUCUAACAAUGAAAAUACAUGUGUUCAAAAUAGAAGGCAGUUAGCCUGGGUACCAGUCCAGGGCUUGACAUUCAGGUAAUUUCACUUGUGAGUGAUUUUCAUGUGUCAUUUGCAUAAUAAAAUCACAUAAUAAAAUCAUGGGAUUUUUACAGUGUUUAUAAAUACAGGGUAAUUGUGUGAAUUUUACAGAGAGUAGAGGCCUAAUGUUUAUGAAUUAAAAUGGCCAACGUGCUUCCCGUGGAUACUUUUUUAUUGUCAUGCCAGAUACUCAAGGUUGUGACCUGGUCCGUGUACAUCUUAGACAAUGGUGUUCUGAUGUAAAACGGAAACGUCAGCAACGUGAAAAAGGCACGUUUUUCUUUCCUUUUCAAAUUUUUAUUUUAUUUUUUACAUAAAACACAUUGGUUGUUGUUAUCUCGCUUUUUGCAGAUGAACAAAAAAGUCGAGAUUCUCGAGAUGCAGCAGUGUGUAUGAAGACUCUCCGGUGACAGUGUCCGAGGGGUUGGCUGAGAGAGUUUUUAAGGUGACUGUGGAGAGGGCCAGAGCGGGGAGCAACCCUUAUASUGCAUYRACACAGCCAUGGAGCUAURGAGAACACUCCCUGUG